ensembl:lncRNA
CGGGUGUCCCAGGUCCGGUGAGUCUAGGGGAGCAACUCUGCUCCCCGAACUUCUGCCCUAGAGCCCUUCUGGACCCAUGAUAUUUACGUUUAUUUCCUCGCAAGAUUUUUACUCCUUGCUACAAGUUAUAGACUUUUAAGUUGAUGUUGGCUAGAAUGCUGUCUCUACUGACCAGGAGGCUGGGGUGAAACUAAAGUGUUUCUCUUUUGAUCGCUCUUCUCCUUUGCCUUCACCUGGGCUUCUUUCCGGCCUGCAGAUCCAGGGGACUCUCCUCCUUGGAAGAAAACAAUCCCCCACAUCGAGAUGCCACCAAUGUCCUCAUUUUACAACUUGUACCCCUACUGCUAUAUGACAGGAU